rnacentral:rRNA from 1 species
UACGUAGGGCGCAAGCGUUGUCCGGAAUUAUUGGGCGUAAAGAGCUCGUAGGCGGCUUGUCACGUCCGUUGUGAAAACUCGAGGCUCAACCUCGAGACGUCGGCGGAAACCCUCUGGCUAGAGUCCGGAAGAGGAGAGUGGAAUUCCUGGUGUAGCGGUGAAAUGCGCAGAUAUCAGGAAGAACACCCGUGGCGAAGGCGGCUCUCUGGGACGGUACUGACGCUGAGACGCGAAAGCGUGGGGAGCAAACAGG